CUUGGCCUCCCAAAGUGCUGGGAUUACAGGCGUGAGCCACUGCGCCUGGCCUAGAUCCAGGAGAAUUUGUUAAGUGUACUAAGAGAGGAUUCAAGUCAUCAGUAUCCACUCUGCUACUUUUAAUUAAGGUGAAAUGGAAAAGGUACAGAUUUUGGAUUCAGAGUCAGGCUCUAGUUCUGGUUCUGACACUUACUAGCUGUGCCACCUUGAAUUACUCUUUCUACCUCAGUUUCCUCCAUCUACAGAAAGGUAAUAAGAAUGCUUACACUCUAGGAUGUGAGGAAUAAAGGUAUAUCAUAGGCACUGGAUACAUGAUAGUUGUAAUUAUUCGUUUCUUUUCAGAGUCACCAAAAAUUCCAUAGAAUCAUGGAAGUGGACUCGAAAACCCUGAUGAAGUCUCCUGGAGUUUCUGGCCUGCUGUUGUCUGUGCUGACUGUCCACAUGUGCCGGUUUCGUAGCGCUGUAAAUCUUGACUUUCGCCUCACUAUCACUUGGGGAUUGCCCGGUCUCUCUUUGUGGUAUGUUGUUUCCUAUAUUCCCUGUCUUUCUCUUUCUUGGUUUACUUUGUUUUGGUGGAGUGCAAUUUCUAGUACUUUCCUGAGAAAUUUGUAGCAUAACUAAACAUGUCUUUAUUUUCUACCCUCACACUUGUUUGAUAUUUUGCCAGAGUACAAAAUUCUAGUUUGGAAAUAAUUUUCUCUAUUGUCUUCUGACUCCCAGGGCUCCUGUUGCCAAAUCCUAAACCAUUUUAAUUCUUAAGUCUUUGAUUUUUUUCUCCUCUCUGGAAACUUCCAGAAUUCUUUGCUUUGUUCUAAGGUUCUAAAAUUUCAUAAUGAUAUGUUUAGAUGUACCUCUAAUUCCACUCAUUGUAUUCAGCACUUGACUUUUUUUCACAUCUCUGAUAAUCUGCUCAUAUUUGAAUUAGGAGACCAAAUAGAUGACUGGAAAUCGGUACCACUGAGAGUGCUUUCAGAGAUCUCUGCCAGUGCCUGCUCGUCUUAAAAAGCUGCCAGGAGACACAGUGGUAGAGUGGAAACAACAGAAACUGCUGCCAGCAGAUCUGGGGCAUAACUGUACAUCUAUUCCUUACUGGCUAAGUGAGCCUGUAUAGAGGUUAUUUAACUUCCUUGAGACUGAGUUUGCUUAACUGUAAAAAUCAAGAUAAUAAUGCCCAUCCCAAAAGUGUGCUUGUGAGCAUUAUCUCAGAGAGUGGUCUCCACCAGGGGUGAUUUUACCCACAAGGGAACAUUUGGCAGUGUCUGGGGACAUUUUUGGCUGUCCCAUCUAGGAGGGGUGCUGCUGGCACCUAAUGGGUGGAAUGCAGAGAUACUGCUAAAUAUUCUACAAUGCACAAGACAUACCCUUACAACAAAGGAUUAUCCAGCCAAAAAUGUCAAUAGUGCCAGAGUUGAGAAAUUCAGAUAUAAGAUGAUACAAAAGUCCUUAGCAUAAUCUCUGGCACACAGUAGAUACUUACUAUGAUAGUUUCAUAUCCCAUCCUCCUUUAACUCUUUAAAGUUACUCAAUCAGCAAAUUAUCACUAAGAGAGUGCAUAUUUAUUCAUUCACUCAACAAAUAUUUACUGAGAAUGUAUACCAAUUACUGUCUAAGUGCCUGGCUCUGCUCCAUGAAAUGUACAGAGUAAAGUGAGAGACAGAUAGAAAUAACGUAGACUAUUACACCAGAUUUUGUAUGAGAAAACAAGAAUUAGAUUUCUUUAGGGGAAGUAAGCCUCAAAUGUUAGUAUUGAUGUAAAGGCUUAAAUAUUUGGAGAUAGGUAUGAGGAUGCUGCUGGGAGGAUGAAAACAUAAAGUGUGUAAAGAUGCAUUCUAAACUUGCAGGACCAAUAAUAUAUGCAUGGUAUUAUCAUGUCUCAAAGUACUCCCUUGUUUCCUCAGCAGCUAAUGCAAGAGAUACACCAAGCUGAGCAACAAGAAAAGAUCUACUGAAAGUCUCCUUGGCUUUACCAAGAAAGUUGCCGUGGACCCUUAGGUCACAUAGCCUGACCAUGCUCAGAUGAACCAAUGGUGCAACCACAGGAGGAACCUAAGUGCUCAGCUGAGAAGCAGGGACUGAAUCAAGCAGCAGACACGAUGAUAAAGUUUGGAUGUUUGUCCCCUCAAAAUCUCAUGUUAAAAUAUGACCCCAAUGUUGAGAGUGGGGUCUAAUGAGGGAGUCCUCCCAAGAAUGGCUUAGUGCCCUCCAAGAGGAAAUGGCUGGUAAUAAGUUUACACGAGAUUCGGUUGUUAAAAAGAGCCUAGCACCCCCUCCCUUCUCCCCUGCUCCCUCUCUUGCCAUGUGACACACCUG
rnacentral:lncRNA from 1 species